rnacentral:rRNA from 1 species
UACAGAGGUGGCAAGCGUUGUUCGGAAUUACUGGGCGUAAAGGGCGCGUAGGCGGUCUUGCAAGUCCCGUGUGAAAUCCCUCGGCUCAACUGAGGAACUGCACGGGAAACUGCUUGGCUUGAGUUCGGGAGAGGGAAGCGGAAUUCCGGGUGUAGCGGUGAAAUGCGUAGAUAUCCGGAGGAACACCGGUGGCGAAGGCGGCUUCCUGGACCGACACUGACGCUGAGGCGCGAAAGCUAGGGGAGCAAACAGG